GUGGGGAAUAUUGCACAAUGGGCGCAAGCCUGAUGCAGCAACGCCGCGUGGGGGAUGACGGCCUUCGGGUUGUAAACCUCUUUUAGUAGGGAAGAAGCGAAAGUGACGGUACCUGCAGAAAAAGCACCGGCUAACUAUGUGCCAGCAGCCGCGGUAAUACGUAGGGUGCAAGCGUUGUCCGGAAUUAUUGGGCGUAAAGAGCUCGUAGGCGGUUUGUCGCGUCUGCUGUGAAAUCCCGAGGCUCAACCUCGGGCCUGCAGUGGGUACGGGCAGACUAGAGUGCGGUAGGGGAGAUUGGAAUUCCUGGUGUAGCGGUGGAAUGCGCAGAUAUCAGGAGGAACACCGAUGGCGAAGGCAGAUCUCUGGGCCGCUACUGACGCUGAGGAGCGAAAGCAUGGGGAGCGAACAGGAUUAGAUACCCGGGUAGUCC
rnacentral:rRNA from 1 species